AUCCAGCAAUGCCGCGUGUGUGAAGAAGGCCUUCGGGUUGUAAAGCACUUUUGUUAGGGAGGAAAGUCUGGUAGCUAAUAACUGCUAGAUCUGACGUUACCUAAAGAAUCAGCACCGGCUUAACUCUGUGCCAGCAGCCGCGGUAAUACAGAGGGUGCAAGCGUUAAUCGGAAUUACUGGGCGUAAAGGGUCUGUAGGCGGAUUAUUAAGUCGGAUGUGAAAUCCCCGGGCUCAACCUGGGAACGGCAUUCGAUACUGGUAGUCUAGAGUGUGCAAGAGGAUGGGGGAAUUCCUGGUGUAGCAGUGAAAUGCGUAGAGAUCAGGAGGAACAUCAAUGGCGAAGGCACCUUUCUGGGGCAACACUGACGCUGAGAGACGAAAGCGUGGGGAGCAAACAGGAUUAGAUACCCUGGUAGUCCACGCCCUAAACGAUGUCAACUAACUGUUCGGAGUCACUAAGAUUCUGAGUAGUGAAGCUAACGCGAUAAGUUGACCGCCUGGGGAGUACGGCCGCAAGGUUGAAACUCAAAGAAAUUGACGGGGGCCCGCACAAGCGGUGGAGUAUGUGGUUUAAUUCGAUGCAACGCGAAGAACCUUACCCGGUCUUGACAUGGUAGGAAUCUUGUAGAGAUACGAGAGUGCCUUCGGGAACCUACACGCAGGUGCUGCACGGCUGUCGUCAGCUCGUGUCGUGAG
rnacentral:rRNA from 1 species